rnacentral:rRNA from 1 species
AUUGAACGCUGGCGGCAGGCCUAACACAUGCAAGUCGAGCGGAUGAACAGUGCUUGCUCCGGCUUCAGCGGCGGACGUGUCGGUAAUGCCUGGAAAUCUUCCUGGUCUUCUGUUAUGUCGUCCGUAACCGGGCGCUACUUCCGCAUACACCCUAUGCGACCUACUGGUGAAUCCUCGGACCCUUCGCACUCUGAUCAGCCUAAGUCGGAUUAGCUAGUUGGUGGGGUAAAGGCCUAACAAGGCGACGAUCCGUAACUGGUCUGAGAGGAUGAUCAGUCACACUGGAACUGAGACACGGUCCAGACUCCUACGGGAGGCAGCAGUGGGGAAUAUUGGACAAUGGGCGAAAGCCUGAUCCAGCCAUGCCGCGUGUGUGAAGAAGGUCUUCGGAUUGUAAAGCACUUUUAUUGGGGAAGAAGGGCAGUAAGUUAAUACCUUGCUGUUUUGACGGUACCAAAAGAAUAAGCACCGGCUAACUUCGUG